rnacentral:tRNA from 1 species
UCGCGGCUGGUCAGCCAGGUCGAGCGGCGCUGGGAUGACCGCCCGGGGCGGAGCCUCGAAGGGCGCCAGGUCCUGAUCGUCGGGACCGGCGAU